GGUCCUGAAUAGCCCAAACUGGUAGAGCAUGGCAUUCACGUUGCCAGGGUUAGGGGUUCGAGUCCCACUGGGACCA